rnacentral:rRNA from 1 species
UGAAUACGAGACGCUACGGCGUCGAAGCAGUCUAUGUCAUACCUCCAAGAAAAGCUUGCACUGUCAUAAACAAAUAAUGCCUGUACCAUAACCGACACAGGUGGGUAGGUAUACUAAGGGGCGCGAGAUAACUCUCUCUAAGGAACUCGGCAAAAUGACUCCGUAACUUCGGGAGAAAGAGUGCCUUAUUUAUAAGGUAGCAAUAACAAGAUCCAAGCAACUGUUUAUCAAAAACACAGGUCUCCGCUAAGUCGUAAGACGAUGUAUGGGGGCUGACGCCUGCCCAGUGCCAGAAGGUUAAAGAAGUUGGUUAGCAUUAGCGAAGCUGAUAACUGAAGCCCUGGUGAACGGCGGCCGUAACAAUAACGGUCCUAAGGUAGCGAAAUUCCUUGUCGGGUAAGUUCCGACCCGCACGAAAGGCGUAAUGAUUUGGAUACUGUCUCGGAGAGGGGCUCGGUGAAAUAGACUUGUCUGUGAAGAUGCGGACUACCUGCACCAGGACAGAAAGACCCUAUGAAGCUUUACUGUAACCUGAAAUUGAAAUUGGACUUUAUUUGCGCAGUAUAGGUGGGAGGCGUUGAGAAUAUUCUUGCGGGAAUGUUGGAGCCAUCAGUGAGAUACCACUCUUGUAAUGUUAGAUUUCUAACUUUGUAUCAUUAUCUGGUCAAAGAACAGUUUCAGGCGGGCAGUUUGACUGGGGCGGUCGCCUCCUAAAUGGUAACGGAGGCGCACAAAGGUUUCCUCUGAACGGGUAGAAAUCGUAUCUAGAGUGUAAAGGCAUAAGGAAGCUUGACUGUGAGACCUACAAGUCGAGCAGGGACGAAAGUCGGUCUUAGUGAUCUGACGGUGCUGAGUGGAAAGGCCGUCACUCAACGGAUAAAAGUUACUCUAAGGAUAACAGGCUGAUCUCCCCCAAGAGUUCACAUCGACGGGGAGGUUUGGCACCUCGAUGUCGGCUCAUCGCAUCCUGGGGCGGUAGUACGUCCCAAGGGUUGGGCUGUUCGCCCAUGAAAGCGGUACGCGAGCUGGGUUCAGAACGUCGUGAGACAGUUCGGUCCAUAUCCGGUGUAGGCGUUAGAAUAUUGAGAGGAGCCUUCUUUAGUACGAGAGGACCGAGAAGGACAUACCUCUGGUGUACCAGUUAUCGUGCCAACGGUAAACGCUGGGUAGCUAUGUAUGGAGAGGAUAACCGCUGAAAGCAUCUAAGUGGGAAGCCCACCUCAAGAUAAG